AAAAAAUGGCCGACGACGAAGACGAAGUUGCUGCAUUAGUUAUUGACAAUGGAUCCGAAACGUGCAAGGUUGGAUUUGCCGGAGACGAUGCUCCAAGAGCCGUGUUUCCCUCCAUUGUCGGUCACCCCAAGAAUACGGUAUGUUAAUGGGAAACAUGGUUGGUAUGGAGUUUAAAGACACGUACGUUGGAGAUGAGGCCAAGGUUAAGCGAGAAAUCCUUACCCUAAGACACCCCGCAGAACAUGGCAUCGUCACCAACUGGGACGACAUGGAGAAGAUCUGGCACCACACCUUCUACAACGAACUCCGUGUGGCCCCAGAAGAAUGCCCUGUUCUACUGACAGAGCCUCCGCUCAACCCAAAGGCAAACAGGGAAAAGAUGACACAAAUCAUGUUCGAAAAGUUUGAAACUCCCGCCAUGUACGUGGCUAUUCAGGCCGUUAUGUCUCUGUUCGCUUCCGGUCGUACAACAGGAAUUGUCCUCGACUCUGGAAAUACUGUUACUAAUACAGUGCCCAUUUACGAAGGUUACUCCUUUCCUCAUGCCACCAGGACACUAGAUCUUGCUGGACGUCAUCUGACCGAUUACCUCAUGAAACUACUUACCGAACGUAGAUAUUCAUUCACAACCAAAGCCGAAAAAGACAUUGUCAGCGACAUCAAGGAGAAAUUGUGCUUUGUCACGAAUGACUUUCAACAAGAUAUGGAGAUCGAUUCAUCCCUCCUUGAAAAAAGGUACGAACUCCCUGACGGUCAGCUCAUGGUCAUUGGCAACGAGCGAUUUAGAUGUGCAGAACCUCUAUUCCAACCAUCACUCCUCGGAAUAGAAUGUUCUAGUAUCCAUGAAAGCAUAAACAACAGUAUCACGAAAUGUGAUGAGGAUAUCCGAAAAGACUUGUACGCUAACAUUGUGCUAUCUGGCGGUUCAACUGUGUUUUCCGGAAUUGCGGAACGUCUAAAGAAGGAAAUCGCAGCACUUGCUCCCAGUUCUGUGAAAGUCAAGAUAACUGCUCCGCCCGACAGGGAAUACUCAGCCUGGUUUGGUGGAUCGUUUCUAGCUUCUACCUCCAUUUUCAAAGAUAUAUGGAUCAGCAAAGAGGAAUAUGACGAAUACGGUCCCUGCAUUGUCCACAAGAAGUGCUUUCAGUAGCUUCAGUCUGUGAGAGCAUUUAGCAAGACCGAUUGUUAUACCCCUGUAAAACAGUUACCAUAUAACUCUAUACCAAAAAAGUCCAGCAUUUUGACUGUUAGACUGGAACUGUUGGAUUGGAACUGUUAAAAUCGACUGUCAUAUUACACAAAACGAGUGAUUAAAUUAGUAGGAGUAUAACAAAACAGUUGUUUACUGGGGUCGAGGUUCGGCCUUGGGCAACAGUUUGUGAGCCGGUCCGACAGAGCAACUGUUGCCCUCGACCCGAGUAAACAACCCCCCCCCCCCCCCAAAAAAAAUAAACAACCCCUGUAUACUGUUCUUCUGAUCGGGUUGUGAUAUCUGCUGUAAACGCUCUAUAAUAAUAUUAAUCUUACUUCAUAUAAUAGAGCCAUGGUUAUAAAAUGGCGAUAACAAGGAAUACUGUGACAUAUGAACCUGGCGAGGUUUUGAAAUUUAAUCAGCUGUGAUUUACUGUAUAUUCAUAAUGUGCAUGAAAUUAUUGUUUUAUUAAUACGUAGAUUUGAUAUCUUCAUGUAUAUUUUCAUGAAAAUUUUUCUCGAAACAUUUUUUUGGGGAGAGUAAAACUUUAUAAGCUGAAAUGUAACAAUGUGUAGUUAUUUAAGACAUCUUUAUUUAUAAAAUUAGUUUCUGUGUCUAAUUAUUAUAUAGAGGGAAAUUUAUACAUCAAAUACCCCCCCCCCCCAAAAAAAAUAAAAAAUUCAUAGCUUAUUGCAAACACAAACAUUCAAUCAAAAACACAUUAUGUUCUAUAGUUAUAAAAAAACUACCAUUAAAAGCGCUGUGAUAUUAAUUUUACAAAUGAAUAAAAAAAAAUACAAUGAAAUGCAUGUGAUAAAUCUCAUCAU
rnacentral:misc_RNA from 1 species